rnacentral:rRNA from 1 species
AGAAUCAACGCUGGCGGCGUGCCUAACACAUGCAAGUCGAACGAGAAAGUGGAGCAAUCCAUGAGUAAAGUGGCGCACGGGUGAGUAACACGUGACUAACCUACCCUCGAGUGGGGAAUAACUUCGGGAAACCGAGGCUAAUACCGCAUAAAACCUAAGGGUCAAAGGAGCAAUCCGUUUGAGGAGGGGGUCGCGGCAGAUUAGUUAGUUGGCGGGGUAAUGGCCCACCAAGACGAUGAUCUGUAUCCGGCCUGAGAGGGCGCACGGACACACUGGAACUGAAACACGGUCCAGACUCCUACGGGAGGCAGCAGUGGGAAUUUGCGCAAUGGGGGAAACCCUGACGCAGCAACGCCGCGUGGAGGAUGAAAUCCCUUGGGAUGUAAACUCCUUUCGAUCGGAAGAUAAUGACGGUACCGGAAGAAGAAGCCCCGGCUAACUUCGUGCCAGCAGCCGC